GCUGAUAUGGCUCAGUAGGUAGAGCGUCGCCUUGGUAAGGCGGAGGUCACGGGUUCGAAUCCCGUUAUCAGCU
rnacentral:tRNA from 2 species